rnacentral:misc_RNA from 1 species
CCCAUAGCCUCUGGGUCAACCUCCCACCCGUGUCUAUUGGUACCUUGUUGCUUCGGCGGGCCCGCCGUUUCGACGGCCGCCGGGGAGGCCUCGCGCCCCCGGGCCCGCGCCCGCCGAAGACCCCAACAUGAACGCUGUUCUGAAAGUAUGCAGUCUGAGUUGAUUAUCAUAAUCAGUUAAAACUUUCAACAACGGAUCUCUUGGUUCCGGCAUCGAUGAAGAACGCAGCGAAAAUGCGAUAAGUAAUGUGAAUUGCAGAAUUCAGUGAAUCAUCGAGUCUUUGAACGCACAUUGCGCCCCCUGGUAUUCCGGGGGGCAUGCCUGUCCCGAGCGUCAUUUGCUGCCCCUCCAAGCACGGCCUUUGGUUGUUGGUUUGGGGCCCGCCCGGUCCCCCGGGUUCCUUCCCCCCGGGGGGAACGGGCCCCCGAAAAGGGCCAGCGGGCCGGGCACCGGCGUUCGGGUCCCUCCGACGCCGUUAUGGGGGCUUCGUUCACCCGGCUUCCUGUUAGAGCCCCGGCCCGGGCGCCAGCCGAACCCCACUUUUAUUUUCUUAGGGUUGGACCUUCGGAUCAAGUAGGAUACCGCUUAAACUUUAAC